rnacentral:lncRNA from 1 species
UAGAGUAAGUGGCGCACAGGUGGAUAAGGUGGCGCAUGAGAUUAGUUGCCCAUUCAAAUUCAAACUUCAUUUGAAUAUGAAUGGCCAACCAACCAUCUUUAUCCACUCAAAAUGGUGCACAAAGGAGGGGCAUAGGAAGGCUUCUACGUGAGAGAAAAUUCAUGAGAACUUGUUUCUCGUGAAUUCAAAUAGGCACAGGUGAGGUGAGGUGGCGC